rnacentral:lncRNA from 1 species
CCUAAAGGUCGGUUUUCGGACAGUCCAUUUCAUAGGAUGUCUCAAGCGGGAGAGAAUCAAAUCCGGGUCACGUGAAUACACUGCCUUGAUAGUCUGUGUUGCUGUUGCAAAUGAUUCACAAGCCCUCAAGAAGGAGGCUGGCUGUCCUCCAGCCUCACCGCCCACUCGUAGGAAUAUUGUAACCCAAUUUUUCCCCAGGAGCGCAUCUCUGCCCUGAAAGCAACUUUCCUCUCGGACUUGCCUGGUUGAACCCCGCCCUUCAACCCCCAACUUGAUUUGGAAAGCAGCCGGUCUCCACGGAUGCACUAGGCAGUUUCCACCUAGGUUACGAAGGAUGGCGGCACGUUUCGAACCACGUGCUUCUCCCCACAAGUGCCGCUUCGGACCCCCACCACCAGAACACCAGUUUGCACAGGUGCAGGAGACAGAGCCAGAGGAUAGCCCCCAGAAACCAGCGUUACCUUUCCACGCUUCCCACCGCCGUUCCUCCUCCCAUCCCAGGAUCCAGCCUGAGUCUGGAGCUCCAUCCAAGCAUCUUUCUUGGCGCCCGACUCCUCCUGGGUGGCUGAAUGGAGAGCCCCACCCUACCCCCGGCGAUGCUCCAGCACCAAGGGUACCCUCCACCAUGAUGAAGGUAUAUCUGCCAGCAAAGAGUGUCUUCACAUCAACAGAAGAUGAGACCUGUGGAAAAUACUUGGACAAAUGAUGCACACUCAAGGGUAUUGACAACUUAUAAGAGAGACAAAAACCCUACAAAGAAGGUGUUAUUUUGAUGAAAAAGGUGAGAAAAAACUAAUUUAAAAAGCAGGUAAAUUGGUUGAAA